rnacentral:miRNA from 1 species
ACUGUCCUACCGGAUGCCAGUAGC